rnacentral:rRNA from 1 species
GACGAACGCUGGCGGCGUGCUUAACACAUGCAAGUCGAACGGUGAGAGCGGAGCUUGCUCCGCUGGAUCAGUGGCGAACGGGUGAGUAACACGUGGGCAACCUGCCCCUCACUUCGGGAUAACUCCGGGAAACCGGGGCUAGUACCGGAUAUGACCUCCCUGGGCAUCCUUGGAGGUGGAAAGUUUUUCGGUGAGGGAUGGGCCCGCGGCCUAUCAGCUUGUUGGUGAGGUAGUGGCUCACCAAGGCGACGACGGGUGGCCGGCCUGAGAGGGCGACCGGCCACACUGGGACUGAGACACGGCCCAGACUCCUACGGGAGGCAGCAGUGGGGAAUAUUGCGCAAUGGGCGAAAGCCUGACGCAGCAACGCCGCGUGCGGGAUGACGGCCUUCGGGUUGUAAACCGCUUUCAGCAGGGAAGAAGCCGCAAGGUGACGGUACCUGCAGAGGAAGCACCGGCUAACUACGUGCCAGCCGCCGCGGUAA